rnacentral:rRNA from 1 species
GUACACGCUGUGACUAGCAUAUCAAUAAGCGGAGGAAAAGAAACUAACAAGGAUUCCCUUAGUAACGGCGAGUGAAGCGGGAAGAGCUCAAAUUUGAAAUCUUCAAGGUUUUACCUUGACGAAUUGUAGUUUAAAGAAGUGUUUUCUGCUGAAGUUUUGGUAAAAGUUCUUUGGAAUAGGACAUCAUAGAGGGUGAGAAUCCCGUAUUUGACCAUUAUUUCCAGCUUUGUGAUACACUUUCAAAGAGUCGGAUUGUUUGGGAAUGCAGUCCAAAAUGGGUGGUAAAUUUCAUCUAAAGCUAAAUAUUGGCGAGAGACCGAUAGCGAACAAGUACCGUGAGGGAAAGAUGAAAAGAACUUUGAAAAGGGAGUUAAACAGUACGUGAAAUUGUCAAAAGGGAAGCGUUUAACACCAGUGUUGUUUUCUGAAAAUCAACCUCUGUUAGCUUUAUGCAUGUUUGUUUAGACCUAAUCAGCUAUCUUUCAUGUUCUAUUGUUUGCAGUGGUGCACUUUUCAGUUUACAGGUCAACAUCAGUUUUUUUACCGUAAAAAAGUUAAAGAAAGGUAGCUCAUGGCUCCGGUCGUGAGUGUUAUAGUCAUUUUCCUAUGCGGUAGGAGAGACUGAGGUCUGCAGUGUAGGCUAUUUGGCUAGAUACUCAGGUGCUAUGUGAUACCAUUUCAUAAACAGCUUGUUGAUUACGUUUUGUCUAUUGCAUACUCGCUUGUACUAUCAUACCUACGCUUAGGAUGUUGAAGACUCUACAGAGAUA